AUUGAACGCUGGCGGCAGGCUUAACACAUGCAAGUCGAGCGGAGAUGAGGUGCUUGCACCUUAUCUUAGCGGCGGACGGGUGAGUAAUGCUUAGGAAUCUGCCUAUUAGUGGGGGACAACAUUCCGAAAGGAAUGCUAAUACCGCAUACGCCCUACGGGGGAAAGCAGGGGAGCUUCGGACCUUGCGCUAAUAGAUGAGCCUAAGUCGGAUUAGCUAGUUGGUGGGGUAAAGGCCUACCAAGGCGACGAUCUGUAGCGGGUCUGAGAGGAUGAUCCGCCACACUGGGACUGAGACACGGCCCAGACUCCUACGGGAGGCAGCAGUGGGGAAUAUUGGACAAUGGGCGGAAGCCUGAUCCAGCCAUGCCGCGUGUGUGAAGAAGGCCUUUUGGUUGUAAAGCACUUUAAGCGAGGAGGAGGCUACCUGGAUUAAUACUCUAGGAUAGUGGACGUUACUCGCAGAAUAAGCACCGGCUAACUCUGUGCCAGCCGCCGCAGUAA
rnacentral:rRNA from 1 species